GAUGAACGCUAGCGAUAGGCUUAACACAUGCAAGUCGAGGGGCAGCGAGGGUAGCAAUACCUGUCGUCGACCGGCGCACGGGUGAGUAACGCGUAUGUAACCUGCCCGCAACAGGGGGAUAACCCGGCGAAAGUCGGACUAAUACCGCAUAAAACAGGGGUCCCGCAUGGGAAUAUUUGUUAAAGAUUUAUCGGUUGCGGAUAGGCAUGCGUACCAUUAGGUAGUUGGUGAGGUGACGGCUCAUCAAGCCUUCGAUGGUUAGGGGUUCUGAGAGUAAGGUCCCCGACACGGGGACUGGGACACGUGGCAGAGAGAUACGGGAGAGAGCAGUGAGGAAGAUAGGUCUAGGGGCUAGAGCCUGAACCAGCCAAGUCGGGUGAAGGAUGACUGCCCUAGGGGUGGUAGACUUCUUGUACAAGGGAAUAAAAGGAGGUACGGGUAUGUUAUUGCAGGUACCGGGGGAAUAAGCAGCGGCUAACUCCGUG
rnacentral:rRNA from 1 species